rnacentral:rRNA from 1 species
UACGUAGGUGGCAAGCGUUGUCCGGAUUUACUGGGCGUAAAGAGCGCGCAGGCGGUCGUUUAAGUCGAAUGUGAAAGCCCCCGGCUCAACUGGGGAGGGUCAUUCGAUACUGAUCGACUUGAAGGCAGGAGAGGGAAGUGGAAUUCCGGGUGUAGUGGUGAAAUGCGCAGAUAUCAGGAAGAACACCUAUGGCGAAGGCAGCACUCUGGGACGGUACUGACGCUGAGACGCGAAAGCGUGGGGAGCGAACAGG